ensembl:Mt_tRNA
AAGAAAGAGGUACUAUGGAAGUAUGGUUGGCUUGAAACUAGCUUAAGGGGGUUCGAUUCCCUCCUUUCUUG